rnacentral:rRNA from 1 species
AAGUUCGCAACGGCAGCACAGAGGAGCUUGCUCCUUGGGUGGCGAGUGGCGGACGGGUGAGGAAUACAUCGGAAUCUACUUUUUCGUGGGGGAUAACGUAGGGAAACUUACGCUAAUACCGCAUACGACCUACGGGUGAAAGCAGGGGAUCUUCGGACCUUGCGCGAUUGAAUGAGCCGAUGUCGGAUUAGCUAGUUGGCGGGGUAAAGGCCCACCAAGGCGACGAUCCGUAGCUGGUCUGAGAGGAUGAUCAGCCACACUGGAACUGAGACACGGUCCAGACUCCUACGGGAGGCAGCAGUGGGGAAUAUUGGACAAUGGGCGCAAGCCUGAUCCAGCCAUACCGCGUGGGUGAAGAAGGCCUUCGGGUUGUAAAGCCCUUUUGUUGGGAAAGAAAUCCAGCCGGCUAAUACCUGGUUGGGAUGACGGUACCCAAAGAAUAAGCACCGGCUAACUUCGUGCCAGCAGCCGCGGUAAUACGAAGGGUGCAAGCGUUACUCGGAAUUACUGGGCGUAAAGCGUGCGUAGGUGGUCGUUUAAGUCCGUUGUGAAAGCCCUGGGCUCAACCUGGGAACUGCAGUGGAUACUGGGCGACUAGAGUGUGGUAGAGGGUAGCGGAAUUCCUGGUGUAGCAGUGAAAUGCGUAGAGAUCAGGAGGAACAUCCAUGGCGAAGGCAGCUACCCUGGGACCAACACUGACACUGAGGCACGAAAGCGUGGGGAGCAAACAGAUUA